rnacentral:rRNA from 1 species
UACAGAGGUCUCAAGCGUUGUUCGGAUUCAUUGGGCGUAAAGGGUGCGUAGGCGGCGCGGUAAGUCGGGUGUGAAAUCUCGGGGCUUAACUCCGAAACUGCAUUCGAUACUGCCGUGCUUGAGGACUGGAGAGGAGACUGGAAUUUACGGUGUAGCGGUGAAAUGCGUAGAUAUCGUAAGGAAGACCAGUGGCGAAGGCGGGUCUCUGGGCCGAUACUGACGCUGAGGAGCGAAAGCAUGGGUAGCGAACAGG